rnacentral:rRNA from 1 species
AACGUAGGAGGCAAGCGUUAUCCGGAUUUACUGGGCGUAAAGGGCGUGUAGGUGGUAGAGUAAGUCUGGCGUGAAAUUUUUCGGCUUAACCGGGAAAGGUCGUCGGAUACUGCUUAACUAGAGGACGGUAGAGGCGUGUGGAAUUCCGGGUGUAGUGGUGAAAUGCGUAGAGAUCCGGAGGAACACCAGUGGCGAAGGCGACACGCUGGGCCGUACCUGACACUGAGGCGCGACAGCAUGGGGAGCGAACGGG